rnacentral:rRNA from 1 species
UACGUAGGGUGCAAGCGUUGUCCGGAAUUAUUGGGCGUAAAGAGCUCGUAGGCGGUUCGUCGCGUCGGCUGUGAAAUCCCGAGGCUCAACCUCGGGUCUGCAGUCGAUACGGGCGGACUGGAGUUCGGCAGGGGAGACUGGAAUUCCUGGUGUAGCGGUGAAAUGCACAGAUAUCAGGAGGAACACCGGUGGCGAAGGCGGGUCUCUGGGCCGAUACUGACGCUGAGGAGCGAAAGCGUGGGGAGCGAACAGG